rnacentral:tRNA from 2 species
GCGGAUAUGGUGCAAUGGCUAGCAUGUGAGGCUUCCAACCUCUUGAUACGGGUUCGAGUCCCGUUAUCCGCU